rnacentral:rRNA from 2 species
GCAGUCGACGAACUCUGGUAUUGAUUGGUGCUUGCAUCAUGAUUUACAUUUGAGUGAGUGGCGAACUGGUGAGUAACACGUGGGAAACCUGCCCAGAAGCGGGGGAUAACACCUGGAAACAGAUGCUAAUACCGCAUAACAACUUGGACCGCAUGGUCCGAGUUUGAAAGAUGGCUUCGGCUAUCACUUUUGGAUGGUCCCGCGGCGUAUUAGCUAGAUGGUGGGGUAACGGCUCACCAUGGCAAUGAUACGUAGCCGACCUGAGAGGGUAAUCGGCCACAUUGGGACUGAGACACGGCCCAAACUCCUACGGGAGGCAGCAGUAGGGAAUCUUCCACAAUGGACGAAAGUCUGAUGGAGCAACGCCGCGUGAGUGAAGAAGGGUUUCGGCUCGUAAAACUCUGUUGUUAAAGAAGAACAUAUCUGAGAGUAACUGUUCAGGUAUUGACGGUAUUUAACCAGAAAGCCACGGCUAACUACGUGCCAGCAGCCGCGGUAAUACGUAGGUGGCAAGCGUUGUCCGGAUUUAUUGGGCGUAAAGCGAGCGCAGGCGGUUUUUUAAGUCUGAUGUGAAAGCCUUCGGCUCAACCGAAGAAGUGCAUCGGAAACUGGGAAACUUGAGUGCAGAAGAGGACAGUGGAACUCCAUGUGUAGCGGUGAAAUGCGUAGAUAUAUGGAAGAACACCAGUGGCGAAGGCGGCUGUCUGGUCUGUAACUGACGCUGAGGCUCGAAAGUAUGGGUAGCAAACAGGAUUAGAUACCCUGGUAGUCCAUACCGUAAACGAUGAAUGCUAAGUGUUGGAGGGUUUCCGCCCUUCAGUGCUGCAGCUAACGCAUUAAGCAUUCCGCCUGGGGAGUACGGCCGCAAGGCUGAAACUCAAAGGAAUUGACGGGGGCCCGCACAAGCGGUGGAGCAUGUGGUUUAAUUCGAAGCUACGCGAAGAACCUUACCAGGUCUUGACAUACUAUGCAAAUCUAAGAGAUUAGACGUUCCCUUCGGGGACAUGGAUACAGGUGGUGCAUGGUUGUCGUCAGCUCGUGUCGUGAGAUGUUGGGUUAAGUCCCGCAACGAGCGCAACCCUUAUUAUCAGUUGCCAGCAUUAAGUUGGGCACUCUGGUGAGACUGCCGGUGACAAACCGGAGGAAGGUGGGGAUGACGUCAAAUCAUCAUGCCCCUUAUGACCUGGGCUACACACGUGCUACAAUGGAUGGUACAACGAGUUGCGAACUCGCGAGAGUAAGCUAAUCUCUUAAAGCCAUUCUCAGUUCGGAUUGUAGGCUGCAACUCGCCUACAUGAAGUCGGAAUCGCUAGUAAUCGCGGAUCAGCAUGCCGCGGUGAAUACGUUCCCGGGCCUUGUACACACCGCCCGUCACACCAUGAGAGUUUGUAACACCCAAAGUCGGUG